GACAGUCUCAGUUCGGAUUGAAGGCUGAAAUUCGCCUUCAUGAAGCCGGAAUUGCUAGUAAUGGCAGGUCAGCAUACUGCCGUGAAUACGUUCCCGGGCCUUGUACACACCGCCCGUCACACCAUGAGAGUUGGGGAUACCCGAAGCCUGUGAGCUAACUUUUAGAGGCAGCAGUCGAAGGUAGAAUCAAUGAUUGGGGUGAAGUCGUAACAAGGUACC
rnacentral:rRNA from 1 species